rnacentral:tRNA from 1 species
GAAAAGAUAAGCUAAAUGAAAGCUUUUAGGUUCAUACCCUAAAUAUAGACAACAGUCUUCUCUUCA